GAUGAACGCUGGCGGCGUGCCUAAUACAUGCAAGUCGAGCGAACAGACGAGGAGCUUGCUCCUCUGACGUUAGCGGCGGACGGGUGAGUAACACGUGGAUAACCUACCUAUAAGACUGGGAUAACUUCGGGAAACCGGAGCUAAUACCGGAUAAUAUUUUGAACCGCAUGGUUCAAUAGUGAAAGACGGUUUUGCUGUCACUUAUAGAUGGAUCCGCGCCGCAUUAGCUAGUUGGUAAGGUAACGGCUUACCAAGGCAACGAUGCGUAGCCGACCUGAGAGGGUGAUCGGCCACACUGGAACUGAGACACGGUCCAGACUCCUACGGGAGGCAGCAGUAGGGAAUCUUCCGCAAAGGGCGAAAGCCUGACGGAGCAACGCCGCGUGAGUGAUGAAGGUCUUCGGAUCGUAAAACUCUGUUAUUAGGGAAGAACAAACGUGUAAGUAACUAUGCACGUCUUGACGGUACCUAAUCAGAAAGCCACGGCUAACUACGUG
rnacentral:rRNA from 1 species